rnacentral:hammerhead_ribozyme from 1 species
AUCCAGCUGACGAGUCCCAAAUAGGAUGAGACGCCCAUCCUGAAU